UACGUAGGUGGCAAGCGUUGUCCGGAUUUACUGGGCGUAAAGAGCGCGCAGGCGGUCGGGUAAGUCGCAUGUGAAAGCCCCCGGCUCAACUGGGGAGGGUCAUUCGAUACUGUUCGACUCGAAGGCAGGAGAGGGAAGUGGAAUUCCCGGUGUAGUGGUGAAAUGCGUAGAUAUCGGGAGGAACACCAGUGGCGAAGGCGACUUCCUGGCCUGUUCUUGACGCUGAGGCGCGAAAGCUAGGGGAGCAAACGGG
rnacentral:rRNA from 1 species